rnacentral:tRNA from 1 species
GUCCCUGUAGCGCAAUGGAUAGCGCGUUGAAAUUUAAUCCAAAGGUCGUGGGUUCGAAUCCACCUGGGAUG